rnacentral:rRNA from 1 species
AAUUUCCCCCAUGUCACUCUGAACAUACUGAUUUUGUAAACUCACCGGGGGCAGAUCUUGUUUGUACUUGGAUGGGAGACCAUCAUGGAAUACCAGGAUGGAAUCUC